AGAACCGGUUCCGAACUCAGUGAGGUUCAGCUGCUCACCGCUUGACAAUGAGCACUCGAGAGAGAAGUGAUGUGUGGAAGGAAAGGUUGCUUUAUUCAGGAAGCUGGCGACCUGGGAAGAGGACAGACUAAAGGCCCAAAGACCAUCUUCCCCGUCCAGGUGAGGGCGUGGGAAGAGGGAGGGGGGCUGGGUGCAGGAGAAGCAGGUGCCCAGCCCGCAGUCGUGUGUGGACAUGACCCCGGGCAGACUGGCUGGCGUCUGCGGCAGCUGUUGCCAAAUGUGGUCAGGCCUUCUCUUCCGGGAGAGUCUGGGCCUUCACUCCUCGAGGCCUGCGGUCUGCAGGUCUCAAGGACAGUAGGUCAGUUCUGCUGCAGACCGACCUUAGGUCUGCAAAGGGGCAGUGCACGUGCUGGCAGCAGGUCGACCCUUAGGACCGGGUGCAGAGUGCGGCCACGGCCCUGUUUGCAGAGGCUUGACGGGCGGCAGGUACGAAGUUCAAAAAUAGUUAUGCAAAGCAGAAUUAAAAGUAACGCGACGAAUCCUGUUUGCAGGGUGAUUCUAAAGGAGGGGCCCAGACCGGAAGGCGGGCAGCUAAAUAGAUCAAGACCACGGAACGUCGGGGAGGUUGGUUGUUCCCUGACUGUGAAUUUCCACUUCUCCAGAGGCAUUUAUCCUGCAGCGGGUGGAACUCGCUAUCGCACAAACACCUUGCUCAUUGAGCAGAUCCUAAUCGAGGCUAUGUGGCCGUCCAAGAGUACUUUGGCCGCUGGGCUGCCGCUGCUGUGGCCGUGGAGCUGGCCGGUUCUCCCAAUGUCAGGGAGAGAUUUCUGACCACGUGUUCAUCAGCACUGUUCCAGCCACGGAAGAAAGACGCUCCCGCUGGAGGCCAACACUGAAUCAGGACCUGUACCCCGGCCCUACACACGACUUCUCGUACAGGUAACGUAUACCCUCGUGAAGGUCAGGGAGGUAGUGACCUCCUUGGAGUCUUCCAGCACAACAGGUAACACUCAAGGAGGGACCGGGCAGGUGUCAGGAACGUUCUCCCAAGACCACCGACGCACCCGGAGCCCUGGCUCCAGGGCACCAGUGACUUAUGGAGUAUGCCUAGAUGCUCAUCUUUGUUCCUGGGUUACUGAGAAGACAUGUGCCCCAGGCCCCAAGCGAAGGUGAGACUCCCUCUCCUCUCCUUUCUGAGUCUCCCAGACUCUUUUGUGUCUUUAAUAAACUGUGCUCUCACUUCC